CUCUGACUGAACCUGUCUCGGGAUAACAAUGAUGCUUGGACUGCGGGUUUAUUCGUCUCUUUUCAUCAUUUUAAUCUCCGUUAGUGAGACGAUAGCAAACGAAAGACCAUAUGCGGUGCUGCAAAAACAAAAUUUGGUGCUGCUCAUUACCGUCCUGUCUGUUCUCUUGGUGUUUAUGCUCGUCAUGGCGGUGUGUGUGUACAAGCCGCUGCGAGCUCGGUGACUGACAGUUGGACCUGUUUUGCAAUUUUUUUUUUAAAGUUUAAGUUAAUAUUAAGUUUCUGUUCAGUUUUGGUUUAUUAUAAACCCUGUUGAUGAACAGAUGAUGGAGAAAGAGGAGCCGGGAUUUGAGGAGCGGAGCCUCAGAUGGAACGGUGUUUACGGACCUUACUGACCUUCAGUUUUUUUUUCAAUUCAUGUCGACAAAAGCCUGUAGAAUCAUGGGUAAUUUCGGGUUAUAUGGACUUUGUGUCUCUUUUCUUUUUGUGAAAUUAAAUCAGGGAAACUAUUUCUCACUUCUCUCCAGAUUUUAGUUCUGAGAUAUCGGUGUGUUUCAGUCGUUUCCCUGCUGAAACACAUCUGAGUGAAAAUCAUUCCUGUUUCUGUUAUUUUACAUGUGGAAUGCGUUUAAAAAUGCCAGUUUUGUUUACAGUCUUAGUUUUUAACCUUAUUGCUAGUCAGACAUUGUUUCCAUGUUUAAAUAUAGUUGGUUGUUGUACCACUCAGUGUUAUCUAACAGAAUGUCAUCUUACUGUUUCACACAUGAGUUAACAUUAGUUUAAAUUUCUAUCUAGCAAGAGAAAGUGCAGAAGUGCCGAAGCCAGUCGCAUGUUUAUUUAAACUUGCUUGUUUCUGUGCUAUUGACAAAGGUAUAACGGCAGAAAUGCAGGGUUUGGUGGGAACAUUAGAAGCGGUGAUAGAAGCUUAGAGAAGUAGGCUGAUAUGAAACCCUAAUCUCAUGAUGAGAGUUUAGUCAGUGUGUUAGCGCAGGGAAACUCUGACGUUAGAGCUUCACAGAUGGACUGCAGUAAUCUCAUUCUGUUCAACCUGAUGCCAUUAUCAUGUUUAAUGUAUAUGGAGUCGAACAUGAUCCUGUGUUUGAAUCAGGGAAAGGGCAGAGGAGCUUCAUGGCUUCUGUACCUGCUGGGUUUCUUUCAGCUGCUGC